rnacentral:tRNA from 1 species
GGGCAGAUGGCGGAACUGGCAGACGCGUAGGUCUCAAAAACCUAUGGGGGCAACCUCAUGAGGGUUCGAUUCCCUCUCUGCCCA